rnacentral:rRNA from 1 species
UGGUUCCUACGGGGCGCAGCAGUGGGGAAUAUUGCACAAUGGGGGAAACCCUGAUGCAGCAACGCCGCGUGAGUGAAGAAGUAUUUCGGUAUGUAAAGCUCUAUCAGCAGGGAAGAAGAAAGACGGUACCUGACUAAGAAGCUCCGGCUAACUAUGUGCCAGCAGCCGCGGUAAUACAUAGGGAGCAAGCGUUAUCCGGAAUUAUUGGGUGUAAAGGGUGCGUAGACGGGAAAUUAAGUUAGUUGUGAAAUCCCUUGGCUUAACUGAGGAACUGCAACUAAAACUGAUUUUCUUGAGUACUGGAG